rnacentral:rRNA from 1 species
UACGGAGGGUGCAAGCGUUUAUCCGGAUUCACUGGGUUUAAAGGGAGCGCAGGCGGAUUUGUAAGUCAGUGGUGAAAGGCUUAAGCUUAACUUGGGAACUGCCAUUGAUACUAUAAGUCUUGAAUGUUGUUGAGGUUUGCGGAAUGGGUCAUGUAGCGGUGAAAUGCAUAGAUAUGACCCGGAACACCUAUUGCGAAGGCAGCAGGCUAAACAAAUAUUGACGCUGAGGCUCGAAAGCGUGGGGAUCAAACAGG